rnacentral:misc_RNA from 1 species
CCGCCAUUGCCUUUCUUUUCCUCUUUUCCUCACUGAUUUCUACCAAUGGGGCUUCUUCCUUACCAUCCUCGAAUUCAAUUCAGAAAAUCUUCAGAUUUAAGAAUCUAACCCAGAAACAGAGACGUAAUCGCCAUGUUUUUAGUGUCAAUGACAAGUUCCUGUACUGGGGCAACAGAAUCGACUGCCCGGGGAAGCACUGCGAGUCUUGUGAGGGUUUGG